CCUGCUUUUUGAACUUAAUUCGUUUUUAUUGAUGAGAACUUUGCACCUGUAUGAGUUAUAAGUACCAUUACAGUCUGAUGAUGGAGACAAAAGUUAGUCGAGGGAACUCUUUAACGGUUUAUAGCAAUUACCUGCUGUUUGAACUUAAUUCGUUUCUAUUGAUGAGAACUUUGCAUAUAUAUGAGUUAUAAGUGCAAUUUCAGUCUGAUGAUGGAGACGAAAGAUAGUCGAGGGAACUUUUCAACGAUUUAUAGCAAUUACCUGCUGUGUGAUCAUCGGUGUCGCAGGACCAGGUUUGAUGAUGGAGCCCAUAAACACUCGAGGGAAUUUCUCAACAAU
rnacentral:misc_RNA from 1 species